GUGCCAGCAGCCGCGGUAAGACGAACCGAGCGAACGUUAUUCGGAAUCACUGGGCUUAAAGGGCGCGUAGGCGGGCGGCCAAGUCAGGGGUGAAAGCCCCCAGCUCAACUGGGGAAGUGCCUUUGAUACUGGUCAUCUCGAGGGAGAUAGGGGCGUGCGGAACUUCCGGUGGAGCGGUGAAAUGCGUAGAUAUCGGAAGGAACACCGGUGGCGAAAGCGGCGCGCUGGAUCUCUUCUGACGCUGAGGCGCGAAAGCCAGGGGAGCGAACGGGAUUAGAAACCCGCGUAGUCC
rnacentral:rRNA from 1 species